GACAGGGCUGGCCUGAGUGGCUCAUCUCCAAUCCAGUCUGCCUUGCUCAGUUGCCUCUCCGGUUCCUGCGGAUGAAUAAUUAAGCUUCUGUCAAGUAAAUAUGCUUUAGCUCCAUCACACCCACUUGUAAAGGGAACAGAGAACCGAUGAGAUACGUGCGCAGUGACCACGGACAGGUGGAACGCGGUACAGCUGGAUACCGCUAGUUUUGUGACGGAAAACUAGCCAGCACGGUGAUGAAGAAAGAGACUCAUCAGUGCACAGAUUGCUGAGAAUAAAUGAUGCUGGAAUGUUCAGCCCCAAACGAGGCGUUUGUAACCCACCACAAGACCUUGGAAACCCUGCUGCUUUGGAAAGAACUUAAGACCGGAAGACGGGAAGAAGGGCUGUAAAGUGUGAAAUGCCAUCUACUGGCUAUGUCGUGUCAUUGCAAUCAUGAACCCCUCUAGGCUCCAGAUGAUCCCAAGCCAAUUGGUUAAAGGGAACAAGUCACAGAACACAACCUAAGGUCCUGAGUCUGAGUCAGGGGUUUGAGAGGGAUCGGAAGGAGAUAAGGGGUGAGGGAGAGGAUAACCAGAAUACAUUGUACAUAUGCACGAAAGUGUCAAAGAGGUAACUACUA